rnacentral:rRNA from 1 species
AACGAACGCUGGCGGCAGGCCUAACACAUGCAAGUCGAGCGAGACCUUCGGGUCUAGCGGCGGACGGGUUAGUAACGCGUGGGAAUAUACCCUUCUCUACGGAAUAGCCUCGGGAAACUGAGAGUAAUACCGUAUACGCCCUUCGGGGGAAAGAUUUAUCGGGGAAGGAUUAGCCCGCGUAAGAUUAGAUAGUUGGUGGGGUAAUGGCCUACCAAGUCUACGAUCUUUAGCUGGUUUUAGAGGAUGAUCAGCAACACUGGGACUGAGACACGGCCCAGACUCCUACGGGAGGCAGCAGUGGGGAAUCUUAGACAAUGGGCGAAAGCCUGAUCUAGCCAUGCCGCGUGAGUGAUGAAGGCCUUAGGGUCGUAAAGCUCUUUCGCCCAGG